UAAUAAGUGUUUUAUGGCACUUUUUAAAUCCAUAUCCACCUUGUGUGCAAUGUCAGUCGAUCUUCUUCAUGGAGAUCGACCAAACAUCAACCUUUAUCUUUUAACUCUUUCGUCUGAAAAAUAUUAUGAAUAAACAAUUCAAAAUA
rnacentral:misc_RNA from 1 species